AUUGAACGCUGGCGGCAGGCCUAACACAUGCAAGUCGAACGAGUGGCGGACGGGUGAGUAAUGUCUGGGAAACUGCCCGAUGGAGGGGGAUCACUACUGGAAACGGUAGCUAAUACCGCAUACCAUCAGAUGUGCCCAGCUGGGAUUAGCUAGUUGGUGGGGUAACGGCUCACCAAGGCGACGAUCCCUAGCUGGUCUGAGAGGAUGACCAGCAACACUGGAACGGAGACACGGUCCGGACUCCUACGGGAGGCAGCAGUGGGGAAUAUUGCACAAUGGGGGCAAGCCGGAUGCAGCAAUGCGGGGUGUAUGAAGAAGGCCUUGGGGUUGUAAAGUACUUUCAGCGGGGAGGCGUUACCCGCAGAAGAAGCACCGGCUAACUCCGUGCCAGCAGCCGCGGUAAUAC
rnacentral:rRNA from 1 species